rnacentral:rRNA from 1 species
UCGACGUACGGUUCCUAGCGAGCCCAACCUCCCACCCGUGUUUACUGUACCUUAGUUGCUUCGGCGGGCCCGCCAUUCAUGGCCGCCGGGGGCUCUCAGCCCCGGGCCCGCGCCCGCCGGAGACACCACGAACUCUGUCUGAUCUAGUGAAGUCUGAGUUGAUUGUAUCGCAAUCAGUUAAAACUUUCAACAAUGGAUCUCUUGGUUCCGGCAUCGAUGAAGAACGCAGCGAAAUGCGAUAACUAGUGUGAAUUGCAGAAUUCCGUGAAUCAUCGAGUCUUUGAACGCACAUUGCGCCCCCUGGUAUUCCGGGGGGCAUGCCUGUCCGAGCGUCAUUGCUGCCCAUCAAGCACGGCUUGUGUGUUGGGUCGUCGUCCCCUCUCCGGGGGGGACGGGCCCCAAAGGCAGCGGCGGCACCGCGUCCGAUCCUCGAGCGUAUGGGGCUUUGUCACCCGCUCUGUAGGCCCGGCCGGCGCUUGCCGAACGCAAAUCAAUCUUUUCCAGGUUGACCUCGGAUCAGGUAGGGAUACCCGCUGAACUUAAGCAUAUCA